GACAGAGGGUGCAAACGUUGCUCGGAAUCACUGGGCGUAAAGGGCGUGUAGGCGGGAAGGAAAGUCGGGCGUGAAAUCCCUGGGCUCAACCCAGGAACUGCACUCGAAACUUCUUUUCUUGAGUGCCGGAGAGGAAAGCGGAAUUCCUGGUGUAGAGGUGAAAUUCGUAGAUAUCAGGAGGAACACCAGUGGCGAAAGGCGGCUUCUGGCCGGUAACUGACGC
rnacentral:rRNA from 1 species